CUCAGAAGCUGGUGAGCCACUCCACUCACCACUGGAACAGUAACUGGGGACAGUCCCCAGAAAGCCACAGGAAGACUUCUGCUGAUCUUGUGGGCAGCCUGGGGAAGCCUCAGCUCUCACUCUGAAGAUUUUGAGAGAAAAAGACCAAAGACCAAAGAGGCCAAAGACCUCAAGCAGGGCCUGUAGGACCCAAAGUAUUGGCAGGUGCCAGAGCCACUCCUCCCCACAUCCAGAAUGGAGCUGGUAUCUCCCUUACAAGAUUAAAGGAAAUAAUGUGUGUCCCACGCUCAGCCCUGCACCUGCCACAGUAAGCACC